ACACACACACACACCAAAAAAACAUACGGUAGCCAACACAUGUAUUUCAUCCAUUUUGAUGGAAGCUGCUCGACUCCGUUUACAACCUUGAACUGGGUUUGGUGUGAUCAGAACGGGAAGCAGCGGCAUCAAGGCGCAGAGAGUCCUUGAGAAGCCUUCUCAGAACCUUGCCAGCCGCUGACUUGGGUAUUGCCUCUGCCUUUUCUCCAUCAGCAUGGCCCAAAGGGAGAGUUGAACAACCAAACGCAGCUCCACUCACUACAAAUCCAG
rnacentral:lncRNA from 1 species